AAAAAUGGUGACGUUUUCAUCAUAACAGACUCUUUGGAACGCGCGGAUAUCAAAUUUUUGUCGAAUGACACAAGAAGGGUUUACAGUUGGGCUCAUUAGAGUCGGCGACAACGUUAAGAAAUACAAGUUGAUAGAUUUUCGUGGAAGAGAUGAGGUUACAAUUGGAAGAUCUCAGGAUGCCACAUUUUGUAUUUUAUCCACCAUGAUUUCACGCUGUCAUGCAGUGUUGAAAAAAGAGGGAGCUGUAUGGAAUAUUAAAGACAACAAGAGUCUGAAUGGAGUUUUUGUAAAUGGUAAAAAAUUGGAACCUCACACGCCAUGUACAUUGCAUGAAAAUGACACCAUCCAAUUUGGAGUCCCUAAAACUGGAGAGGAGGUUGCUGAGUUCAUCUUCAAGUUCCAUUACAAGAUAAAAGUAAAAAGGGCACGACCCAAAAGCUCUGAUGAAACUGACAGUUCAACUUCAGCACAAACAAAUGUCAACCAUUAUCCAUUGAAGAGAGUAAAACUGAACACUAGUGACAAUAUAGCGACUGAUAAACCUUCAUGUUCCAAGGAGAACUUCCUGAAAAAACAGCAGCCGUUUGACGAUUACAAAGAGAAGCAGAACAGACAGCAAGAAGAAGCCGAUAUGAAACUGAAAGAAUUUGAAAAUAAACUUGCCGAGAUGCAGAAGAUGUUGAAGGAGAAAGAGGAAGAGCACGAGAAGAUGAGGAAGUGUUUGGAGGAGGAAAAACAGGAGCGAGAAAAUCAGACAUUGCAGAUGAAAGAGAAGCUGAAAGAAAAGGAGGUCCAGCUAGAAGUUCAGACCAGUACAAUGAGGGAAAGGUUAAAAGAGAAAGAACAAGAACUGGCUGCAGAGGUCAAGAAACGAGAGGAAGAUGAAAAGAAAAUGAAAGAGGAUUUAGAAAACCAGUUGAUGAGCAAGGAGGCAGAGCUCUUGGAACAACUCCAGCAGCAGAAGGAUGCUCUCAUUACUGAGAAAAAGAAGGUGGAGGAAGACCUGCAGAAAUCCAUGGAGAAAGCUCUGGAGGAAAAGAACAAAGAACUGGAGGACCAGCUACACAAAGAAAAGGAAAGGUUGGAGAAGGUUAUAACGGAGAAAGAGACAAAACAGAAAAUGCUUGAGGCUCAGCUGCAGGAAACAAAAAAAGAACCCGACCAAUGAGAGGCCAACGCCAGGCCCAGCAGACCACUACCAGGAACAGAGAGGGGCAUCAGCCAAUCAUCAUCGAGAGUGAGGACGAGGCAGAUGGAGGAGAUGUUUAUGUUGGAUUGAUUGAGGAGGAGGUGGUGGCUGAGGAUUUGAGUGACAGUACCAGGAGUAGUGAAAGCGAUGACCAUUUUUACACAGAUUCUGACGAGGAUAGUGAUGGGGUGUCGGGCGAUCCCGAUGCAUAUUAUGGAGGAUAUGGCCAUUGUUACAGAUGCGGUCACACAGGACAUUGGGCCAACGGAUGUCCCUUCCGAUAGUGAAUAGUCCAUCGUCAUGCCAAACCUGUGUUCUUUUACAUUUCUGUUGGUUUAUUCUUUUAGUACAAACAAUGGAACUUUAAAGCAUGUUAUACAAGUUGUCUUACUAUUUUUUUUGGUAUUUUACAACUUUUCAGUAAAAUGUUGAAAC
rnacentral:misc_RNA from 1 species